rnacentral:rRNA from 1 species
CAGCAGCCGCGGGAAUGCGGAGGGUGCAAGCGUUAAUCGGAAUUACUGGGCGUAAAGCGCACGCAGGCGGUUUGUUAAGUCAGAUGUGAAAUCCCCGGGCUCAACCUGGGACCUGCAUUUGUGACUGUAUAGCUAGAGUACGGUAGAGGGGGAUGGAAUUCCGCGUGUAGCAGUGAAAUGCGUAGAUAUGCGGAGGAACACCGAUGGCGAAGGCGGCCAUCUGGGACAACACUGACGCUGAGGCACGAAAGCGUGGGGAGCAAACAGGAUUAGAUACCCGGGUAGUCCCUGUCUCUUAUAA